UACGAAGGGGGGCUAGCGUUGCUCGGAAUCACUGGGCGUAAAGGGUGCGUAGGUGGUGAGGUAAGUCGGAUGUGAAAGCUCGGAGCUCAACUCCGAAAUGGCAUUGGAAACUACCUUGCUCGAGGGUUGGAGGGGGGACUGGAAUACUUGGUGUAGCAGUGAAAUGCGUAGAUAUCAAGUGGAACACCAGUGGCGAAGGCGAGUCCCUGGACAACUCCUGACACUGAGGCACGAAAGCUAGGGGAGCAAACAGG
rnacentral:rRNA from 1 species